GAUGAACGCUGGCGGCGUGCUUAACACAUGCAAGUCGAACGGAAACGCCCAAGCUUGCUUGGGUACUCGAGUGGCGAACGGGUGAGUAACACGUGGGUGAUCUGCCCUGCACUUCGGGAUAAGCCUGGGAAACUGGGUCUAAUACCGGAUAGGACGAUGGUUUGGAUGCCAUUGUGGAAAGUUUUUUCGUUGUGGGAUGAGCUCGCGGCCUAUCAGCUUGUUGGUGGGGUAAUGGCCUACCAAGGCGUCGACGGAUAGCCGGCCUGAGAGGGUGUACGGCCACAUUGGGACUGAGAUACGGCCCAGACUCCUACGGGAGGCAGCAGUGGGGAAUAUUGCACAAUGGGCGCAAGCCUGAUGCAGCGACGCCGCGUGGGGGAUGACGGCCUUCGGGUUGUAAACUCCUUUCGCUAGGGACGAAGCGUUUUUGUGACGGUACCUGGAGAAGAAGCACCGGCUAACUACGUG
rnacentral:rRNA from 1 species